rnacentral:lncRNA from 1 species
AUGGUCCUCUCCCCGCCCUCCUCCGGCGCGACUGAGGCGGCUCCGGGAGCUCCCCGGCGGGCACGGGAGCCGGUGGGCCUUCCGAGAGCAGCGAGGGGGCGGCGCCGGGGUGUCCCCGGCCCGGCGGCCGGAUCCCUCCCAGGCGCGGGCGGCGGCCGCCGGGCGGUGCGGAGCGGGCGGUGGCUUUGUGUGCGCACGGGCGGUCCUUGGUGCGAGGGGAGAAGCGCGGCGCGCCUGGGCGGGAGAGGACGCGCUGCUCGCAGGGCAACCUUGCUUCUGCUCUGGCCGCUGGCUGGCGGGAGGGUCUCGAAGGCCUUCGGCUCGCGGCGACCCCUCCUCCUCGCCCGCGGCAGCCCCCUCCUCGCCGGCUCCGCUCCUGACAGAUGGCGCAAGUGCAACGACGCGCCGCCGCCACCACCGCGGCUGCUCGCUGCUACUCUCGCUGAUGCUCGGCCCCUCCAGCUCCGGAGGGGAGCGAGGAGGAGGCGGGGCGCGCCCCGAGAGUGGCAGGCCCCGCUGCCCUAUCAAAGAGCCCCUUGGGAGCUGCGGGCCGCAACCAUUGGCGCCUGGGGCGUGGGCGGGACGGCAGUGGGUGGGGCCGCAGAGUGGGUUGAGCGUUACUGUGGCAGCGGGCAUCCCAGGGUGCGUGCGGUGCAGGGUGUGCAAGAGGAUGCGAGGUUGGAGGAGGAGUUCAUGGUUUUCUACCUCGUCUAUCGUCUCUUGUCUUCAGAAAAGAGGAUCUCGGCUUUCUAUUUAACUGGAUACUCAUUAAGUCUCAGCCCGCAGCAGCAGGAUGCCUUCCCCAUCCAAGAAGGAAGGGCUCCAGCCGGGAAAAGGACAGAGAGCUUCGAGAGAAGCCUGGAGGCAGUCGGAGAUGGACCUCGGCAGGGGCUGCACUUUGCAAAGCUGCUUUUCCCUCUUGGAGGAGAAAGAGGAGGAUCAGAGGGCUGAAGUUCCCUCUGAGCACUUCUAACACCUACUUUGGACUUUAUCCCUACCAAAUAAGACUGUAAUGUGCAGUUGGCAUGCCCAUAUUAGUUAAUUCAAUUGGAAAAGAAGAAAAAAAAAGACCUACUUACUCACAAGAUUUAGAAACAAAAGCCCAGGACUGUGGCAGCAUAAGGACCAAGUGAUCAUAACUGCCAUCGUCUUCCUUUCAAAUGAAAUGUAAUCGUAUUUUUGCUCACACAUGCUCAGGGAAUUUCUGGCAAGAUACCCAAUUAACUACUGUCAAUGAUUACCUCUGGGGAAGGGUCCUAGGCCAAUAGCAGGCUGCAGGGAAUUUUACCUUUUGCUUAAUACCCUCAGUUCUGUUAGAGCUUUUAAUAAAAUCUGUAUGUCAUUUUUAUUUUUAAAAACUAACAAUUCAGCUUUUAAGCUAUUGAAUGUUCUAAUUUUUAAAAUGAACUACUUUGUUACUUAACAUAAAGAUAAGUGAGAUAAACAGAAAGGUGUAAAAGAAAUAUUUUUUUCUAGAGUUUCCGCUCCUCUAUUCCAAGACUCAAAGGCCAGAUAUAUUCAUUCAGAUAGAAAGAUGGACAAUGUGAUGGGCUGCUUAGAAACAGGAGAAUUUGAAUUUGAACACAGUGCUACAAACCUGAAUGCAUUUUAUUAGAUUUCUUCCUCUUCUUUCUUUUUCUGUUCCUGGUUUUUCCUAAUUUUCUUUUGAUUAGCAGUAUGGCCUUCCUAUAACAAAGAGGAGUUUCAGGCCUUGCUUUCCAGUAUCCCAUUGUUUCCCUCAGUUCCCGAGGCAGCCAUCUCACCGGACUGCAUGAAUGGUUUUGGUGAGAUUUCUUCUCUAUGUUUCAAUUUCUGCAUGUAAAUUGAAAACUAAAAAGCACCUGGGUUAGACUGAACAAAGGCUUGAAAUAGAUGCAUCCCCUUCCAUUUGGAGCCCUGAAUAAAAGUCAUGGCUUAGAAGAAGGAAUGGAAGAGAAGAGGGAGAGAAGGAGAGAAGAGAAACAAAAUGCAUGGGCAUAGUCUCAUUUUACAAUUAAAUAAGGACAUUUUAAUGGCUAUAAGAAUAUUCUCUAGAUGAUAGAGCAACACCACAAGUAUUUCUUGAUUUCUACAGUUGAAGUGCUGCUUAGAGGGAAUCUAUUUCUUUUGUAAAAUUAUAUAAGAAUUUAUAGGCCCAUGAGGAGUAUCCCAUUUAAAGGACUCUAAUUAGGAAUAUUUUUGUAAAACUCGUUUCAUUAAUUAUCUCCUUUCUUUUACAUCCCUUCAGCCUUUUACAUUCCAUUAGUUCUUCCUUCUCAUCAAACAGACUUAUUUUGACAUUUUCAUCCUAAAACAAAGAAAGAAAACUCUCUCAUGUCUUCUCUAGCUACUGUCCUCUCUCCUUCCCUUCACAGCUAAGUGCCUUCAAAAGGAUGGUCUCCCCUAGGUAACCAACCUAUUUUAGAAAGAUUUGGGAAAAUGGAAAAGAAAUAAGAAGACAAGUGUAGAGGCACGAAGGCGCUUAUCAUUUUUUUGCCCAAAUGAUCUUCCUGCAUCUACAACUGUCCUCUUAACUUCUUUUCUAUAUUCCCAAAUAUUUCUAAAAUGCAAAUGUGAUUAUGUCACUUGUUCAUUUAAAAAUCUCUACUCCCUGUUGCUUGUGGGACAACAUCCAAAUUCCUCAGCAUGACACCCUACACUAGGUACUAGAAAAUAUACUGGGUACUCAUAACAGAUUGUGCUCUGUCCUUCACAAACAUCCAUAUCAGCCACGUUGUUUGUACGUUGUUUGUACAUGUUCCCAGAGCAUGCUGGCUGUUCUCAGGCCUUUGUACCUUUGUAUACGUUCUUCCCUUUUCCUGGAAUGUUCUUCCUCCUUUCAACUGCAUUUUCUUUAAGACCUAGCUCAAUGUCAUGUUGACCAGAAAGCUUUUGCUGAACUACCAGCGUGGGUGAGGUAUUCUCCUGUGACGUAUCCUCUCGUGUAGUACUCACUGCAUGAGUUAUGCUCCUGUAUACUACAGGCACUCAAUAAGUAUUUAUUAAACGAAUUAACUAAUGAAUGAUGACUAUAAUCUCAUUUAU